rnacentral:rRNA from 1 species
GAUGAACGCUGGCGGCGUGCCUAAUACAUGCAGGUCGAGCGAACGGACGAGAAUCUUGCUUCUCUGAUGUUAGCGGCGGACGGGUGAGUAACACGUGGAUAACCUACCUAUAAGACUGGGAUAACUUCGGGAAACCGGAGCUAAUACCGGAUAAUAUUUUGAACCGCAUGGUUCAAAAGUGAAAGACGGUCUUGCUGUCACUUAUAGAUGGAUCCGCGCUGCAUUAGCUAGUUGGUAAGGUAACGGCUUACCAAGGCAACGAUGCAUAGCCGACCUGAGAGGGUGAUCGGCCACACUGGAACUGAGACACGGUCCAGACUCCUACGGGAGGCAGCAGUAGGGAAUCUUCCGCAAUGGGCGAAAGCCUGACGGAGCAACGCCGCGUGAGUGAUGAAGGUCUUCGGAUCGUAAAACUCUGUUAUUAGGGAAGAACAUAUGUGUAAGUAACUGUGCACAUCUUGACGGUACCUAAUCAGAAAGCCACGGCUAACUACGUG